rnacentral:lncRNA from 1 species
CAGAAGCAGUCUGGAGCACAAAGAAUCCCUAAUCACUGACAUUAAGAAAGAAGAAAAAUAUUCCUAGGACGAUCCUGGAGAGCAAAGGUCAUCAGCAGUCACUUGACUUUCCUUGGAUUUCUCAACUGCAGUAGUCACAUGGUCUGCUGAAAAUGAAUUCUCUUUAUUUUCAUCUGAUUUCAAGGAAUUAUGGUUUUCAGUGAUUUCUUCAUUUGGAUCUAUUUUGAGACAGAGUAAUAGCAUUAAAACCCCCUUCUGAAUUAAUAAGUAUUUUAUGGGUGCAAAGGAAAUUAUAUGUCAAAAGCAAUGGAGAGAAAACAUUUGAGAAAAUGGAAGAAGUGCUGAGACACUGGAGUCUACCCUGAAAGAUAAAGCUUCACCUGAGGAGAUCUGCAAAUUAGUAGCUUUUUGCCAGAAGGCAUUCUCCAGUCUAUGCAGCUCAAGUAAUAGAAGGCUACAGCCUUGGUGGAAUGACUUGAGGGAACAGGGGACUGAGUCUAGGACCAUCAGAUCAGCCAAUAAAGAAAGAAGAGACACAGACAUGCAGAGAAAACACAGGGAAGAAGGCCACAUGGGAUGAAGGCAGAGAAGGGAAUGAUGCAGCUACAAGCCAGCUACAAGCCAAGGAAUGCCAUGGACUGCUGGCAACCACUAGAAAGAAGCUGGAAGAGGCAAGGAAGGAUUCUUCCGUGAUGCCUUCAGAGGAAAAUGGCCCUGCAAACACCUUGAUCUUGGACUUCUGACCUCCAGAACUAAGAGAAUACAUUUCUGUUGUUUUAAGUUAA